rnacentral:lncRNA from 1 species
CUUCCUCAAGUGAUGAGUACUUCCGAGAGGGCGCGCCCUAGGGAGGGACGUGACCUCUUCAAGACUAGUGAGCUCUUUCCUGAGUAUGUUUGUCUCUUCGGGAGGGCGCGCCUUGUUGGAGGAAAGUGCGACUACUCCUCAUGGAGAAGAGGUGUACUCCUCUUAAAGGUAACACCAUAUUACCUGUGAAUAAGUAUGUUUGUCUUCACAAAAUAUCAUAUGAAGCAAUUAAUGCAUCAGACAUACCAGAGGGCGCGCCCUGUCAGAGGGAGGCGCGCAAUUCGUUCUCUGAUAGAAUACUGGUUGGAUAUGGCUUCGGGAGGGCGCGCCUUGUUGGAGGAAAGUGCGACUACUCCUCACGGAGAAGAGGUGUACUCCUCUUAAAGGUAACACCAUAUUACCUGUGAAUUUACACAUGUAGUAGUCUUAGGGAACCAAAUACUGGGGGAGUUUAGUAUUUACCUGAGGGCGCGCCCGGUCAGGGGAAGGCGCGCAUCCUUACGACUUUUCGAGCUAGGUUCCAUCUCAAUAGCUCGCCCUUCGUAACUUUCCCGUUCAUAUCAUCACAUGUGGUCAGGCCUUCAACAUGCGCCUCUCGCGAACCUCAAAUUACUUGCUCUGGGGAGGGCGCGCCCCUUCAGAAAACCGUUGAGGCUUCCAGGGAGGCGAUCUCCUUCUCGUAAAGAC